UUUGGGCACAAUCCCCUCCACUGACUCUCCUGUCUGCCCCGCCCUGCACUCACCACCCUCAGGGUCCUCCUUAGUACUGCCAUGACCAAGCUUCCUCCUUCUUCCGAACCUAAAGCAACAUCUAUUGUACUGUCUUGAGGGAUCCACAGGACCAAUAACACUUCAAUAAUGCCGUGUACUUCUCCUGACCUGCAGGUGAGAGGAGAACAAUGGUCUGAGCCUCUUCCUCUGGCCCCUGCACAUCUGCUUAGAGGCAUCUGCGUGAAUGUGCUGGUUGUUCACUCGAGAAGAUACCAGAUACAAACAAGACAAGGAUGUUGCUCUUGUAAGCUCCAAAUAUUGGCUGAAGGAAUGAAUGAACAUCUGCCUUCUGUAUCAGUAGAUCUUUCCUUCCAUUGCAGAGUUAGAAGGUAAGCCAUCCUCUGAGACCCAGGACAUGGACUUCAGUGGACUGUCGGUUUGUAUCCAUGGGGACUGGUCAGUGGGGCUAUCCUUAAGUCAAAGAGAUCAUUCAUGUGUUAUGUUUUGAAGGGUGUUGGGAGUUCUUGAUAUCCAAAAUCAUCGCAUAUUUUAAGGCUUGACAGUCCAGGGUUUGAGAUAAAUUUAUUUUGGUCUUUAGUGUUGUUUGUUCAGCAUUAGGUUCUCUAUGGGAAUGUCACUGUUCCUGGUGGGACAUCACCUUUGGAUUUGUUAGAUGAAACAGCAAGACAUGGUGAGCAGAGCACUGUUUUUGGAAUCCAGUGGACUUGUGUUCUAACCCUGCUUCCACCAUUUGCCAUCUGUGUGACUUGGAAAAGUUAUUUGAC